UACGAAGGGGGCUAGCGUUGCUCGGAAUCACUGGGCGUAAAGGGUGCGUAGGCGGUUCUUUAAGCCAGGGGUGAAAUCCUGGAGCUCAACUCCAGAACUGCCUUUGAUACUGAAGAUCUUGAGUUCGGGAGAGGUGAGUGGAACUGCGAGUGUAGAGGUGAAAUUCGUAGAUAUUCGCAAGAACACCAGUGGCGAAGGCGGCUCACUGGCCCGGUACUGACGCUGAGGUGCGAAAGCGUGGGGAGCAAACAGG
rnacentral:rRNA from 1 species